CUACCACCCAGGACCGGAAAGUUCUCCA
rnacentral:rRNA from 1 species